GGUUUAAUUACCCAAGUUUGAGGGAGAAACCAAGUAAAUUUGACCAAAAUGAUUCGUUCAGUGUUAGCUUCAGUGUCGCCACUUCGUCAGAUACUUGCAAGUCAACUUUGCACGUCCUCUAUUACGUUAGCUGGCAUUCGACCUUUGGGUCCAAAAAACAAAGCACCUGAUUUUUCUGGCACAGCAGUUGUAAAUGGAGAUUUUAAAACAAUUAGCAUGAAAGAUUACAAAGGAAAAUGGCUUAUCCUGUUUUUUUAUCCUCUUGACUUUACCUUCGUUUGUCCAACCGAAAUUACUGCCUUUAGCGAUCGAUGUGCGGAGUUUCAGAAAUUAAACACAGAACUGAUUGCAUGUUCGUGCGAUUCACAUUUCUCACAUCUAGCAUGGAUUCAAACCCCACGUAGUGAAGUGGGUGGUCUCGGUGACAUGAAGAUUCCAGUGCUUGCAGACUUUAAUAAAGAUAUAGCGAAUGCAUUCGGUGUCCUUGAUCAUGAAACAGGUAUCUCAUAUAGAGGUUUGUUCUUAAUCGAUCCAAGUGGUGAAAUCCGUCAUUCUCUCGUGAAUGAUCUUUCGGUUGGUCGUAGUGUGGAUGAAGCAUUUCGUACGCUAAAAGCCUUUCAGUUUGUGGAGAAACAUGGUGAAGUAUGUCCGGCAAACUGGUCCGAUGAUAAGCCAACAAUUAAGCCCGGCAUCAAGGAGUCCAAGGAGUAUUUCAAAAAGGUCGAUGGUCAUACAUAAAAAAUCCAGUAGCACCUAAAAAUGAUUUAUUUGGACGACGUGAGUUCUUUUUUUUUUUUUUGAAUAACAGAGUUUUUUGUUUCUGUUUAUGUUAAGGUUAUAAUUUAGUUGCUUUCUGUAGUUAAUGUAUGCGAUUUACUCUAAAUAAUAAAUAUCUGAGAAGCCCCA
rnacentral:misc_RNA from 1 species